rnacentral:rRNA from 1 species
AGCCUCAGGAAAAUUAAUCUAAGGUUAAACCUGCCCAAUGUUAAUUAUUAUCAAUGGCCGCGGUACUUUGACCGUGCUAAGGUAGCGCAAUCAAUUGGCUUUUAAUUGAAGCCAUGUAUGAAUGGAAUCACGGGGUUUAGCUGUCUCUUAAUUAAUUUAUCGAAGUUACUAUUUAGGUGAAAAAGCCUAAAAGAAGAAAAAGGACGAGAAGACCCUUAGAGUUUUUCUAAAUCUAGGAUUGUUCCUAAGACAGUUUAGUUGGGGCAACAUAGGAGCAUAUUAAACCUCCUGUAAUAUACUUACCGAUAAUAAUAAAUAUGAAUAAACUACCUUAGGGAUAACAGC